CUACUAGGCUUUGAAUUUCAUGGUCAUGUUUUGUUUUUUGAGUACAUACAAGCAUGAUUCCGCCUUUUAAUUGUUAAUUGCAUGCUAUAUGAUGUUGCUCAAAUGAACAUGUUUUUCAAAAUAAUUCCUUCAAGUGGUAUCAGAGCCUAGGUCUAGUAGUUGGUGAAUCCUUUUGGGUUUUGUAGUUCAUAGUAUGUGAUCUAAAAGUUGUAAUUGUUACAAGCUUUAUUCUUG
rnacentral:lncRNA from 1 species